GGAUUCCCCUAGUAACUGCGAGUGAAGCGGGAAAAGCUCAAAUUUAAAAUCUGGUGGUCUUCGGCCAUCCGAAUUGUAAUCUAGAGAAGUGUUACCCGCGUCGGACCGUGUACAAGUCUCCUGGAAUGGAGCGUCAUAGAGGGUGAGAAUCCCGUCUUUGACACGGACUACCGAGGCUUUGUGGUGCGCUCUCAAAGAGUCGAGUUGUUUGGGAAUGCAGCUCAAAAUGGGUGGUAAAUUCCAUCUAAAGCUAAAUAUUGGCGAGAGACCGAUAGCGAACAAGUACCGUGAGGGAAAGAUGAAAAGAACUUUGGAAAGAGAGUUAAACAGUACGUGAAAUUGCUAAAAGGGAAACGCUUGAAGUCAGUCGCGUUGGCCGGAAAUCAGCCUUGCUUUUGCUGGGUGUACUUUCUGGUUGACGGGCCAGCAUCAGUUUUGACCGGUGGAAAAAGUCUAGGGGAAUGUGGCAUCUUCGGAUGUGUUAUAGCCCUUGGUCGUAUACAUCGGUUGGGACUGAGGAACUCAGCACGCCGCAAGGCCGGGUCUUUGACCACGUUCGUGCUUAGGAUGCUGGCAUAAUGGCUUUAAUCGACCCGUCUUGAAACACGGACCAAGGAGUCUAACAUGCCUGCGAGUGUUUGGGUGGAAAACCCGGACGCGUAAUGAAAGUGAAAGUUGAGAUCCCUGUCAUGGGGAGCAUCGACGCCCGGACCAGAAGUUUUCUGACGGCCCUGCGGUAGAGCAUGUAUGUUGGGACCCGAAAGAUGGUGAACUAUGCCUGAAUAGGGUGAAGCCAGAGGAAACUCUGGUGGAGGCUCGUAGCGAUUCUGACGUGCAAAUCGAUCGUCAAAUUUGGGUAUAGGGGCGAAAGACUAAUCG
rnacentral:rRNA from 1 species